rnacentral:misc_RNA from 1 species
AAGUCGUAACAAGGUUUCCGUAGGUGAACCUGCGGAAGGAUCAUUAACACGUAUCCGAACGUUAAAACCCCCCCCGUGAACCUUUAUGAGUGCGCCCUUGUGGGUACCCCGAGUCGUAGUGUAUGGUAAAUCAUGGGUGAGUUGGGAGUUCUUCUCAACAGGCACAUUAUUGAUUCAAUGACUACGAUUGGCUGCAAGAAAUGCGAGCUCGAAGCAACAGCGGUAAAGCAAUAACUUGUCUGAAAGUGUCAUUUAUUGUGUAAGCCGGCGCUUAAGCGUGCGACUGGAGACCAUCACGGCCAGUGCCUGUUCCGGAUCCUCGUGGUCCCCUACCACAUAAAUUACGACGUCAGUGGUGCGAGGGCCAAGUGGCCUGCCGCACCGAACGCACAACUGUUAACAAUGGAUAUCUUGGUUCUC